rnacentral:rRNA from 1 species
GACGAACGCUGGCGGCGUGCUUAACACAUGCAAGUCGAACGGAAAGGCCCUGCUUUUGUGGGGUGCUCGAGUGGCGAACGGGUGAGUAACACGUGAGUAACCUGCCCUUGACUUUGGGAUAACUUCAGGAAACUGGGGCUAAUACCGGAUAGGAGCUCCUGCUGCAUGGUGGGCGUUGGAAAGUUUCGGCGGUUGGGGAUGGACUCGCGGCUUAUCAGCUUGUUGGUGGGGUAGUGGCUUACCAAGGCUUUGAAGGGUAGCCGGCCUGAGAGGGUGACCGGCCACCAUGGGACUGAGAUACGGCCCAGACUCCUACGGGAGGCAGCAGUGGGGAAUAUUGCGCAAUGGGCGGAAGCCUGAUGCAGCGACGCCGCGUGCGGGAUGACGUCUUUCGGGUUGUAAACCGCUGUCGCCUGUGACGAAGCGUGAGUGACGGUAAUGGGUAAAGAAGCACCGGCUAACUACGUG